AAAAGAAGUAAUCAAAAGGGAAUCGGGUGUAAAUCCCGGACAGUCCCGCUGCUGUAAUUUCCAUAAAUGUUGCAAGCAAUCACUCAUUGCCACUGUUUAAUUUAUUAUUCGGGAAGGCGCUUGUAACAGGAAUAAGUCAGAAGACCUGCCAUGCAACAUU
rnacentral:ncRNA from 1 species